CCUACGGGUGGCAGCAGUGAGGAAUAUUGGUCAAUGGGCGCGAGCCUGAACCAGCCAAGUAGCGUGAAGGAUGACUGCCCUACGGGUUGUAAACUUCUUUUAUAAAGGAAUAAAGUGAGGCACGUGUGCCUUUUUGUAUGUACUUUAUGAAUAAGGAUCGGCUAACUCCGUGCCAGCAGCCGCGGUAAUACGGAGGAUCCGAGCGUUAUCCGGAUUUAUUGGGUUUAAAGGGAGCGUAGAUGGGUUGUUAAGUCAGUUGUGAAAGUUUCGGGCUCAACCGUGGAAUUGCAAUUGAUACUGGCAGUCUUGAGUACAGUUGAGGUAGGCGGAAUUUGUGGUGUAGCGGUGAAAUGCUUAGAGAUCACGCAGAACUCCGAUUGCGAAGGCAGCUUACCAAACUGUCACUGACGUUGAGGCUCGAAAGUGUGGGGAUCAAACAGGAUUAGAUACCCCAGUAGUC
rnacentral:rRNA from 1 species